rnacentral:rRNA from 1 species
GUGCCAGCCGCCGCGGUAAUACGGAGGGUCCAAGCGUUAUCCGGAUUCACUGGGUUUAAAGGGUGCGCAGGCGGCCGGGUAAGUCAGUGGUGAAAGCCUUCGGCUCAACCGGAGAAUUGCCAUUGAAACUACCCGGCUUGAGUGCAGUGGAGGUGGGCGGAAUGUAGCAUGUAGCGGUGAAAUGCAUAGAUAUGCUACAGAACACCGAUAGCGAAAGCAGCUCACCAUACUGCAACUGACGCUGAGGCACGAAAGCAUGGGUAGCAAACAGGAUUAGAUACCCGGGUAGUCC